UAGAAGGUACUUCCUGCCUAAUGCCACAAGAAAACUUUCUCUACCUCAUUAAAAUUUUGCAACUCAUUCUGACCCUUAGCAACAACUAACGAGGACUGGAUGUUCUCUGAUGCCGCAUUCUUUCAAGAGCCUGGGUCAACCAACAAGAAAUUGAAGAAGUCACCGUGCUCUCCUUUCUAAAAUAGAGAAGUGACCUCCUACUUGACAACAGUUUUCAAGGAAAGUUAAAGUACAAUUACUCUAAUUGGAAGCAUCUGGCGGACUUACCCCAAGGUAACCGCUGUGGGUACCUUUGGAUGUGUUAGAAAGCCUUUCUGAGCCUUUCUUUGAGAUCUAAAACAGGGACCUUAACAGCUAUUCAUGGGGUUACUGUGAAGCUUGGAAACCGCAUGUACCCAGUGCUCAGCCUCACACCUGAAAGGCGGGACUCUGGCUCCACAUGUAUUAGACCACUUGAUGUUUCCCACAUCUCUCAGAUGUUCUGUUCAUAUAUUUAUUUUAAAAGAAAG